UACGUAGGUGGCAAGCGUUGUCCGGAAUCAUUGGGCGUAAAGCGCGUGUAGGCGGCUCGGUAAGUCCGCUCUGAAAGUCCAGGGCUCAACCCUGGGAUGCGGGUGGAUACUGCCGGGCUCGAGUCCGGAAGAGGCGAGUGGAAUUCCCGGUGUAGCGGUGAAAUGCGCAGAUAUCGGGAGGAACACCAAUGGCGAAGGCAGCUCGCUGGGACGUGACUGACGCUGAGACGCGAAAGCGUGGGGAGCAAACAGG
rnacentral:rRNA from 1 species